GUGUCCCGGGGCCAUCCCCGGCCCCUUCCCGAGAGCUCCCGGCGGCUCCAGCGGGCGCUGCUGCUCCGCAGAGCCGGGACCGACACCGGGGAGGGGCCCCGGGCUCCGGCACACGCGGCCGAGUGCUGGGAGCGGAGCCCGAGGGCUGAGCCUGGGCUGGGGCCGCGCUCGGAGCUGGGCAAUGGAGUCCUGAGCGUUGGAGUCUGGAAACCAAGCGGGGCCGGUUCGGGGUGCCCAAUGGGCUGGAGGCUGUGAGCAUCGAGAGCAGGGGCUGCCUGAGCAGCGGACGGUGAAGAGACAGAUGGGACAUCGUUGGAACGCAGGCCCAAGGAGAGGCCCCGUGCAGCUCUCUUCAGGGACCAUCCCGGGGUGCUCGACCUGUCCCUGCAAGAAGAACACCCAUCACCACCAAUCUCUUCAUGCGGCUGCCGCUGGCCACCUUUCCUACCCACCACCAGCCCAACCUGCUUCCUCCCCACACAUCUUGGCCUUGUGGCACUCCUAGCCCCACACUGUGGCCAUGCUGCAUCCUUCUAUCUGUCCUGUAUCAUCUUCUGCUUCUCCACUGGUAUGUGGAGCAUGGGCAGACUGUGCCUGGUCCCUCCUCCAGGCCUUUGCUUCCCUGGCUUUUCCCAGCUGGCUCCCACAUGUACACAGCUGUGCAGAUCCUUCCCAAAUAACAGCCUUCAUCCUGUGAGAUGGAAUAAACCUCCUUUCCACACACAGACUUCAA